rnacentral:rRNA from 1 species
GAUGAACGCUAGCGGCAGGCCUAAUACAUGCAAGUCGAACGAGAUUGGAGGAGCUUGCUCUUCCAUGAAAGUGGCGCACGGGUGCGUAACGCGUAUGCAACCUACCUUCUUCAGGGGGAUAGCCUCUCGAAAGAGAGAUUAACACCGCAUAACAUUAUUGAGUGACAUCAUUUAAUAAUCAAAUAUUUAUAGGAAGAAGAUGGGCAUGCGUGACAUUAGUUAGUUGGUGAGGUAACGGCUCACCAAGACUACGAUGUCUAGGGGAUCUGAGAGGAUGACCCCCCAGACUGGUACUGAGACACGGACCAGACUCCUACGGGAGGCAGCAGUAAGGAAUAUUGGUCAAUGGGGGCAACCCUGAACCAGCAAUGCCGCGUGCAGGAAGACGGCCCUACGGGUUGUAAACUGCUUUUAUACCGGAAUAAUUCCCAGUACGUGUAAUGGGUUGAAUGUACGGUAAGAAUAAGGAUCGGCUAACUCCGUGCCAGCAGCCGCCGUAACAC